rnacentral:rRNA from 1 species
AUUGAACGCUGGCGGCAGGCCUAACACAUGCAAGUCGAACGGUAACAGGAAGAAGCUUGCUUCUUUGCUGACGAGUGGCGGACGGGUGAGUAAUGUCUGGGAAACUGCCUGAUGGAGGGGGAUAACUACUGGAAACGGUAGCUAAUACCGCAUAACGUCGCAAGACCAAAAAGGGGGACCUUCGGGCCUCUUGCCAUCGGAUGUGCCCAGAUGGGAUUAGCUAGUAGGUGGGGUAACGGCUCACCUAGGCGACGAUCCCUAGCUGGUCUGAGAGGAUGACCAGCCACACUGGAACUGAGACACGGUCCAGACUCCUACGGGAGGUAGCAGUGGGGAAUAUUGCACAAUGGGCGCAAGCCUGAUGCAGCCAUGCCGCGUGUAUGAAGAAGGCCUUCGGGUUGUAAAGUACUUUCAGCGGGGAGGAAGGGAGUAAAGUUGAUACCUUUGCUCAUUGACGUUACCCGCAGAAGAAGCACCGGCUAACUCCGUG